rnacentral:rRNA from 1 species
CUUGACCUCGGAUCAGGUAGGGAUACCCGCUGAACUUAAGCAUAUCAAUAAGCGGAGGAAAAGAAACCAACAGG